CGAGCGAACGGACGAGAAGCUUGCUUCUCUGAUGUUAGCGGCGGACGGGUGAGUAACACGUGGAUAACCUACCUAUAAGACUGGGAUAACUUCGGGAAACCGGAGCUAAUACCGGAUAAUAUUUUGAACCGCAUGGUUCAAAAGUGAAAGACGGUCUUGCUGUCACUUAUAGAUGGAUCCGCGCUGCAUUAGCUAGUUGGUAAGGUAACGGCUUACCAAGGCAACGAUGCAUAGCCGACCUGAGAGGGUGAUCGGCCACACUGGAACUGAGACACGGUCCAGACUCCUACGGGAGGCAGCAGUAGGGAAUCUUCCGCAAUGGGCGAAAGCCUGACGGAGCAACGCCGCGUGAGUGAUGAAGGUCUUCGGAUCGUAAAACUCUGUUAUUAGGGAAGAACAUAUGUGUAAGUAACUGUGCACAUCUUGACGGUACCUAAUCAGAAAGCCACGGCUAACUACGUGCCAGCAGCCGCGGUAAUACGUAGGUGGCAAGCGUUAUCCGGAAUUAUUGGGCGUAAAGCGCGCGUAGGCGGUUUUUUAAGUCUGAUGUGAAAGCCCACGGCUCAACCGUGGAGGGUCAUUGGAAACUGGAAAACUUGAGUGCAGAAGAGGAAAGUGGAAUUCCAUGUGUAGCGGUGAAAUGCGCAGAGAUAUGGAGGAACACCAGUGGCGAAGGCGACUUUCUGGUCUGUAACUGACG
rnacentral:rRNA from 1 species